GGCCUUCUUUCCUUUUUGCUGGGUGCCUGCUGCUCGCAGUCGAAAUGGGCAAGUUUAUGAAACCCGGGAAAGUGGUGCUGGUCCUGGCUGGACGCUACUCCGGACGCAAAGCCGUCAUCGUAAAGAACAUUGAUGAUGGCACCUCCGACCGCCCUUACAGCCAUGCCCUGGUGGCUGGAAUUGACCGCUAUCCCAGAAAAGUGACAGCUGCCAUGGGCAAGAAGAAGAUCGCCAAGCGAUCCAAGAUCAAGUCCUUUGUGAAAGUUUAUAACUACAACCACCUCAUGCCCACAAGGUCUCUCGAGGAAUUGGCUUCCUGGUGUCCUAGCUAAUCUCCUCUGCACUGUUAACCCAGGUACUCUGUGGAUAUCCCCUUGGACAAAACUGUUGUCAACAAGGAUGUGUUCAGAGACCCAGCACUGAAACGCAAGGCCAGGCGGGAGGCCAAGGUCAAGUUUGAGGAGCGAUACAAGACAGGGAAGAACAAAUGGUUUUUCCAGAAGCUUCGCUUUUAGAUGUAUUUUUGUUUUCGUCAUUAAAAAAAUAAAAAA
rnacentral:lncRNA from 1 species